GGUGAAGGGUUAAAUAGGGGAAGGGUGAGUGGCGGAUGGAAUGGUUGGGGUGCGGCAGGGAAGGAGGGCGGGACGGUGAAGGGAAGUGAAAGGGGAUUCUUGACAUGGCGGUGGCGGUGAUAUUUUUUUAUAAUAUAGGACGACGAUACGAUAUAAACAGUUAUUUAACUCUAUAGGUAUAGGGGUAUAUACUUAGAGUAAAUGGUUCAAUCUGCGUAGGUAUAAGGGUAUAUUUUGGGUGAAGGAUUCAAUCCCUGAUCCUCAGAUGGAUGUAUAUUGUAUAUAUGUGGGGUAAGAGGUUAUAUCUGCUUAGGUACAAGGGUAUAUUUAACGUGAAGGGUUCAAUCCCUGAUCCUAAGAUGGAUGUAUAUUGUAUAUAUGUGGGGUAAAGGGUUAAAUCUGUAAGGGUGUGAGAGCAUAUAUGUGGGUUUGAGGUCAAGUCUGUCAACAUCUGAGGGCAUAUACAUGUGUUCUAGGUUAAAUUUGUCAAGGUAUAAGGGCAUAUAUGCAGGUUCGAGGUUGUCUGUCAGGAUCUAAGGGCAUAUACGUGAGUUCGAGGUUAAAUUUGUCAAGGUAUAGAAGGAAGGGCGGCCUUUCUGGUGAAGGGCCGUGGCGGGAAAGGGAGGAGCUGAGGUAGUGACGGGUAGGGCGGGUGAUGGAAGGAAGAUCUGGAUUCCUGACACGGCAGCGGCGAAAUAUCUUUAUAACAGAGAGAUGUGUAUAUAUAUAUGUAUAUAUAUACAUAAUGAUAUUUAUGCAUAAUUUAUAUAAGUAUACAUAUCAUCAUGUACAUGUAUAAUUCAGCACAAAUUAAUUUCGAGAGGCUUGUAGUAUGCUUAAGGAGGUUGUCUAGUGUCAAGGCUAUUUUUUUUUUAUUUUAAGGUUUUUCACUUAUUUUUUUUUUUACGACAAACCAUGGAAAUAAAAUUAUCAUAAUUCUCGCUUCAUAUUUAUUGGCAUUUAAACAAACGUUGUGAUUUUUUCGGAUACAAAAUAUUGAAUAUAACCUGACGUAUACUGCCCGAUGGGAACGUAAAUUAAAAAAAGUGUAGACAUGAUAUCUGAUGAAGCACUAGACCAAUCCUAUUCAAAUUUUUACAGUAUCUUUAUUAUACCUAUACCUAUCGUGUGAACUAGGAUAAUCAUGAUUGCUUUGUUAAAUUUUGUUUUAUGAAAAGAUAAUCUGAAAUUGUUGUUCUUUUCCAUCUGAUUAGCUUGUAGAACAAAAACUACGAAGGCAAUCAUGAUAAUUCUAGAUCACGUGCUGUUAAAAUUUGAGCAGGAUGUGUCUAGUGCUUUUUGAGAUAUCAUUUCUACACUUUUUUUUUUAGAUAUGUUUCUAUUGGGAAGUAUACAUUAGAUUAUAUUCACUAUUUCGUCUCGAAAAAAAAUGUCAUAGUUCGUUUAAAUAUGAAUAAAUAUAAUGUGAAAAUUAUGAGAAUUUAUAUUUCAAUGAUUUGUCAUAAAAAAAUACCCAAAAAGCCUUAUAAAAAACAGCAUUUACACUAGACGACCCCUUUAAGGGGGUAUUCUGGUCUAGAAAUUUCGAGAAAUUGAUUAAUUUUUUUUGUACAUUAUUAUAGCUUCAUCUUUCAAGAAUAUUUUGGACUAAAGCCGGUGUCAAAUUUCCACAAAUUUAUAAAGUUGUGAGUACUUGAGUGAAACAACGUACGACCGCUCGGUAUGCACCUCAAUAGAUUUACUGGGUUCAAAAAUACAAAGAUCAGCCUGUAAGGAAGCUGUGAAUGCGGCAAAAGGCCUAUAUACCCCAGGAAUC